AGCGAACGCUGGCGGCAGGCCUAACACAUGCAAGUCGAACGAACUCUUCGGAGUUAGUGGCGGACGGGUGAGUAACACGUGGGAACGUGCCUUUAGGUUCGGAAUAACUCAGGGACACUUGUGCUAAUACCGAAUGUGCCCUUCGGGGGAAAGAUUUAUCGCCUUUAGAGCGGCCCGCGUCUGAUUAGCUAGUUGGUGAGGUAAAGGCUCACCAAGGCGACGAUCAGUAGCUGGUCUGAGAGGAUGAUCAGCCACAUUGGGACUGAGACACGGCCCAAACUCCUACGGGAGGCAGCAGUGGGGAAUCUUGCGCAAUGGGCGAAAGCCUGACGCAGCCAUGCCGCGUGAAUGAUGAAGGUCGUAGGAUUGUAAAAUUCUUUCACCGGGGACGAUAAUGACGGUACCCGGAGAAGAAGCCCCGGCUAACUUCGUG
rnacentral:rRNA from 1 species